UUAUCUGUCCUGGUAAUGCGUAUCUUACUGCAAAAAAUACAUUAUUCUAACUUUAAAACAUAUACAUUGUGAAUGUUUAAUAAGUUCAACACUUUCUGAUGUCUUUAAGCGUGGUUGUGUAGGCCUUGACAAUAACCUGAGUCCAAAUUUCCCGCACUUUCCAUAUGUUGUAGUCAUUGAUUUAUAUAAACAUUGGUUGCAGUGCGCAUGCCGGCAUAGAUCGGAUAUGGGGGUUACAGCGAGGCCUGAUCGUGUGGCGACAUGCGCUUCCGCGUGGCAAUAUAAUCAAUAGCUGGAGUCCCAAUGAAAAUAAGAGGGGAGUAUUAUCGGAUUGUGUGUACCCGAGGAACCUGUCUCGUUGCUGGCUGGCCCUGGCAGAGAGAAGAAAAAACGGAACGCUAAUACAAAGAGUGAUUCUGAGGUGGUGCCCAAGACAGAUCUGGUGCCUACCCUUGCCCUGCUCCUGGGCAUACCCAUCCCCUACAGCAGGUUGGGCAGGUCCUGCUGUCUUGGUUCCCUGCAGACAGCCAGACAGGGGGUGCACCAGCAGGUCUCAGCCAGGCGGAGGCGCUGUGGAUCAAUGCCAAACAGGUAACCAUGAUUGACAGAGGAAGAACAAUGAUUCCAAGCACCACCCUCCUUUUG